rnacentral:rRNA from 1 species
GACGAACGCUGGCGGCGUGCUUAACACAUGCAAGUCGAACGGAAAGGCCCCUUUGGGGGUACUCGAGUGGCGAACGGGUGAGUAACACGUGAGUAACCUGCCCUUGACUUCGGGAUAACUUCAGGAAACUGGGGCUAAUACCGGAUAGGAAUCCUUGCUGCAUGGUGGGGGUUGGAAAGCUCCGGCGGUUUUGGAUGGACUCGCGGCUUAUCAGCUUGUUGGUGGGGUAGUGGCUUACCAAGGCUUUGACGGGUAGCCGGCCUGAGAGGGCGACCGGCCACAUUGGGACUGAGAGACGGCCCAGACUCCUACGGGAGGCAGCAGUGGGGAAUAUUGCACAAUGGGCGGAGGCCUGAUGCAGCAACGCCGCGUGCGGGAUGACGGCCUUCGGGUUGUAAACCGCUUUCAGCAGGGGCGAAGCUUGUGGUGACGGUACCUGCAGAAGAAGCACCGGCUAACUACGUG